ACGAACGCUGGCGGCGUGGAUAAGACAUGCAAGUCGAACGGGAGAAUUGCUAGCUUGCUAAUAAUUCUCUAGUGGCGCACGGGUGAGUAACACGUGAGUAACCUGCCUCUUAGUGGGGGAUAGCCCUGGGAAACCGGGAUUAAUACCGCAUACGAUUGAAAGAUCAAAGCAGCAAUGCGCUAGGAGAUGGGCUCGCGGCCUAUUAGUUAGUUGGUGAGGUAACGGCUCACCAAGGCGAUGACGGGUAGCCGGUCUGAGAGGAUGUCCGGCCACACUGGAACUGAGACACGGUCCAGACACCUACGGGUGGCAGCAGUCGAGAAUCAUUCACAAUGGGGGCAACCCUGAUGGUGCGACGCCGCGUGGGGGAAUGAAGGUCUUCGGAUUGUAAACCCCUGUCAUGUGGGAGCAAAUUAAAAAGAUAGUACCACAAGAGGAAGAGACGGCUAACUCUGUGCCAGCAGCCGCGGUAAUACAGAGGUCUCAAGCGUUGUUCGGAAUCACUGGGCGUAAAGCGUGCGUAGGCUGUUUCGUAAGUCGUGUGUGAAAGGCAGGGGCUCAACCCCUGGAUUGCACAUGAUACUGCGAGACUAGAGUAAUGGAGGGGGAACCGGAAUUCUCGGUGUAGCAGUGAAAUGCGUAGAUAUCGAGAGGAACACUCGUGGCGAAGGCGGGUUCCUGGACAUUAACUGACGCUGAGGCACGAAGGCCAGGGGAGCGAAAGGGAUUAGAUACCCCUGUAGUCCUGGCAGUAAACGGUGCACGCUUGGUGUGCGGGGAAUCGACCCCCUGCGUGCCGGAGCUAACGCGUUAAGCGUGCCGCCUGGGGAGUACGGUCGCAAGAUUAAAACUCAAAGAAAUUGACGGGGACCCGCACAAGCGGUGGAGUAUGUGGCUUAAUUCGAUGCAACGCGAAGAACCUUACCUGGGCUUGACAUGUAAUGAACAACAUGUGAAAGCAUGCGACUCUUCGGAGGCGUUACACAGGUGCUGCAUGGCCGUCGUCAGCUCGUGUCGUGAGAUGUUUGGUUAAGUCCAGCAACGAGCGCAACCCCUGUUGCCAGUUACCAGCACGUCAAGGUGGGGACUCUGGCGAGACUGCCCAGAUCAACUGGGAGGAAGGUGGGGACGACGUCAGGUCAGUAUGGCCCUUAUGCCCAGGGCUGCACACGUACUACAAUGCCCAGUACAGAGGGGGCCGAAGCCGCGAGGCGGAGGAAAUCCUGAAAACUGGGCCCAGUUCGGACUGUAGGCUGCAACCCGCCUACACGAAGCCGGAAUCGCUAGUAAUGGCGCAUCAGCUACGGCGCCGUGAAUACGUUCCCGGGUCUUGUACACACCGCCCGUCGCAUCAUGGAAGCCGGUCGCACCCGAAGUAUCUGAAGCCAACCGCAAGGAGGCAGGGUCCUAAGGUGAGACUGGUAACUGGGAUG
rnacentral:rRNA from 1 species